UACAGAGGUCUCGAGCGUUAGGCGGAAUCACUGGGCUUAAAGCGUGUGUAGGCGGAUCGUUAAGUGCCUUGUGAAAUCCCACGGCUCAACCGUGGAACUGCUUGGCAUACUGGCGGUCUUGAGCAACCUAGGGGCGAGCGGAACAAAUGGUGGAGCGGUGAAAUGCGUAGAUAUCACUUGGAACGCCAAUGGUGAAGACAGCUCGCUGGGGGUGUCCUGACGCUGAGGCGCGAAAGCCAGGGGAGCGAACGGG
rnacentral:rRNA from 1 species